CCGGAGAAGAAGACUCGCCAACAGCUAGACUCUCGGUAGAGAAAAUGAGCAACGUGAACUCAAGGCGGAGCGAAAAUAAUGAAGCCUGAAAUAGGGAGAGAUCAACCCCUAUAUAUAGGUUCCCUCAACGGUCAGGAUCGACGUCGAGUACCAUGCCUAGCCUGAAGAUCAUGACAUGUGGCAGCAAUCUUGGUCGGUCCUCCCGUCAUCUGUUC
rnacentral:lncRNA from 1 species